UCGAACUCACAGAGAUCCACCUGUCUCAGUCUCUGAAGUGCUGGGAUUAAAGGAAUGUGCCACCAGCACCUGGCUGUACCUAGCCUUUUAACCUACAAAAGUGGACGUAAAAUUCUUUGGCUGUUUCUCCUUCUGUAAUUAGUACUUUUUAUGUGUGCGUAUGCUUCAACCAUUACAGCCCGACCCUUUCUCCUGUAUUAGUUUAUCACCAGGCCAAGAACUCUAGAAAGCGGGGUUAGCAGACACCUCAGUGCACUCUAGACUGAGGAGUAGUCAAAUACAAGAGAGGAAUUGGAACAGUUAGUUAGCAGCUACUUUUGUUACAAAGUAUUGAUUCUUCACUGGGGCCAUAGAGCUAAAGGCAGGAAGCUAAGUCCUUGUCUUAAACCUGCAGUCCCUUUGGAUCCCAGAAGAGUAAACCAUCAGCCAGCCCCUCCCCCACUCCCCUGCCAUUCCUCCACCCCCCCCCCCCCAAUAUUGGGACAGGUAGGGAAGCCUAGCUGGGGUGGUGCUGCUCAAGCUGAGAUUUCCCCUGCAAGAGCAGCACUCUCAGGCACGCACGCACACAAAUGAAAAAUUAAAAACACCUUAUUCAUCCCCACCUGAUAAAUUUGUAAGUCCAGACUCCAUUUUAGAGAACCUGACCUGAGUUUGAACUCAGGUAAACUAACAGCAUGAGUUUCCAAGUUGCCCCGCAACAAACCCAAGCCUAGCUCCAGUCUCUAGGCUAAUCCCCAACAAGGCCAGGUUACACCCUCAACAAGACCAGUGUCUCCAGGUUAUUUCCCCCGUCAAACCUGUAGCCCAGGUUACAAGCCCGCCCCCUGCGUUAUGACCACCAAUGCAGAGGAGAGCAGGAGUUAAGUUUAUGACAUGACUCCCAGCACCAGCCAAUUGUGUUAAAGGCCACAGUAGCUUUCCAGUUAGAUGCUUGCACACUCACCCCCCCCCCCCCAUAUAAUAACUUGCUGCUUAUUAUAAAGUCUUGCCCAUUAGGAGCCCUCCCAAAAAAACAAAACAAAACAAAACAAAACAAAACUGCCCUUUGUGACAGUGAUGGGUUGGGGUGGAGGGAAGUAUCCAAGCUAGCUGGAAUAAAGACCUGCUGGGAGUUGC
rnacentral:lncRNA from 1 species